AUGGCCGCGCAGAUGCUCCGCCGGUGGAAGAGCUUCUACGGCGCCUUCGACGCCGUGGACGCCGCCAUCGAGGCCGCCGACCCAGACCAAUUUUCACGCCACGUGUUCCAGCGCGCGAGGGGUGACCUGGUGCUAGGGCUCUGCAACGCCGCCGACGACGACCAGGCGGAGCGUAUCUGCGGGAUUCUCGACGACCUCAUGGCAGAGUCUCUCGAGACGCUCAGGGUGGUUCCAUCAACGCCAGAGACGCCCAUCUCCACGGAACUCGCCGAGUCUGUGCGCGCGCUGCGGGAGCACGACUCGGAGCGCGUCCGCCUCCUCGCGCGCGGCCUCGUGAGCGGGUGGGAGGCCUCCGUCCAGGACGACGUCGUCAAGGUCACACCAGCCAUGCCAAUGAAGAAGCCC
rnacentral:rRNA from 1 species